rnacentral:tRNA from 1 species
AAGGGUAUAGCUCAGUGGUAGAGCAUUUAACUACAGCUCAAGAGGUUCCCUGGUUCAAAUCCAGGUGCCUCCU